rnacentral:rRNA from 1 species
UACGGGGGGGGCAAGCGUUGUUCGGAAUUACUGGGCGUAAAGGGCUCGUAGGCGGCCAACUAAGUCGGACGUGAAAUCCCUCGGCUUAACCGGGGAACUGCGUCUGAUACUGGAUGGCUUGAGAUUGGGAGAGGGAUGUGGAAUUCCAGGUGUAGCGGUGAAAUGCGUAGAUAUCUGGAGGAACACCGGUGGCGAAGGCGGCAUCCUGGACCGGUAUUGACGCUGAGGCGCGAAAGCCAGGGGAGCAAACGGG